UGAUUAUGGGGGAACCAUUAUCUCUCUCUCUCUACCCAAAAACUCAUUUUAUACCUGCCAACAUCUGAGGGGAGGAGGGGGCAAAGGAGCAAAGGCUUCUAUAACAGUAUUGGCAAAUCUGUGAAGAGCAUCCAUUCUCAAGCUGUCAUAUCACCUCCUGGCUCUCACAGCACUACAUAUCCUGCAGUAAGCAUCUGUUUUUGUUUUAAUUUUGCGAACUACUGUGCUUACAGGACUCUUCCACUAAACCCCUAAAAAAAAUUCCAUGCCAAAAUGUAAUCAGUUGCUCAGGGAAAUCCGCUCCUAAAUGAACUGUAAUUGAAAUGCACUUUGAUUUCACUAUUAUUGACUUUAAUAUAAAAUGAAUGCUCUACAUAUGAACUUGUAAAUGUGGGAAAUCCCAAUGGUUUAACUGGUAAAAAAAAAAAUGUAAAAAACACCUACAUUUCCUGAGCUGUGCACACUGUGGGUUUAUAGCGAAAUCACAACUCUCUCUCUCUAUAUGUCUUUGUCCACCCCCCGCCUCCCCUCUAUGCCCAAAGAUGGCGAAAGCAACAUGAGUUUCUCUCACUUCCUCUCCUCUGAUGACCAUCUGUGUGUUGGUUUCAGCCAGGCGCUUGGCACAUCUGUGUACUCACAUCCCCUCUCACUUCUCUCAUCCUCACACUACUUACCCCAACAAAAACGUGUGGCAUUGUGUGUGUGUGUGUGUGUGUGUGUGUGUGUGUGUGCAGCAGUGAGGAGUAUUUGUUGUCACAUGCGCACAGACCACUCCAUCAGGGUUUGGGUUUAAUGAGUCCUGGGGGGUCAGAGGUCAAGGAGGUGACGGCUACAAUGUGGCUAGGGUUUCACAUGAGAGCCACUUUCAGCUGUUCCAGCUUAGUGAAGUUUACUGUGGCAUCUUUGAUUCCAAAUGUGUGACAGCAAUGUGUCAGCAUAUGUCUUUUCCCGGAACAGGCAAAGUCCUACAUGUUGUCACCCAUGUGGUGGAGUGUAAUGGGAGAUGGAAAUUUACAUGACAAGUGUCAUUGAAAACCUGCCAUGACAUGAUCUUUUAUCAAACUGAUCACACAAAAUUGAUAAAACAUGCAUGCUCAAUGGACAAGACAUUACACAGCAAAUUUUAUUUCAUAACCAUGAAUAGUAUACUGUUUAUCAAAAUGAAAUGACUUCUUCAAAGAAA